rnacentral:rRNA from 1 species
AUUGAACGCUGGCGGCAUGCCUUACACAUGCAAGUCGAACGGCAGCACGGGAGCAAUCCUGGUGGCGAGUGGCGAACGGGUGAGUAAUAUAUCGGAACGUGCCCAGUCGUGGGGGAUAACGCAGCGAAAGCUGUGCUAAUACCGCAUACGAUCUAAGGAUGAAAGCGGGGGAUCGCAAGACCUCGCGCGAUUGGAGCGGCCGAUAUCAGAUUAGCUAGUUGGUGGGGUAAAGGCCCACCAAGGCGACGAUCUGUAGCUGGUCUGAGAGGACGACCAGCCACACUGGAACUGAGACACGGUCCAGACUCCUACGGGAGGCAGCAGUGGGGAAUUUUGGACAAUGGGCGCAAGCCUGAUCCAGCAAUGCCGCGUGCAGGAUGAAGGCCUUCGGGUUGUAAACUGCUUUUGUACGGAACGAAACGGCCCUUUCUAAUACAGGGGGCUAAUGACGGUACCGUAAGAAUAAGCACCGGCUAACUACGUGCCAGCAGCCGCCGCCG